AGCGAACGCUGGCGGCAGGCCUAACACAUGCAAGUCGAACGAACCUUUCGGGGUUAGUGGCGGACGGGUGAGUAACACGUGGGAACGUGCCUUUAGGUUCGGAAUAACUCAGGGAAACUUGUGCUAAUACCGAAUGUGCCCUUCGGGGGAAAGAUUUAUCGCCUUUAGAGCGGCCCGCGUCUGAUUAGCUAGUUGGUUGAGGUAAUGGCUCACCAAGGCGACGAUCAGUAGCUGGUCUGAGAGGAUGAUCAGCCACAUUGGUACUGAGACACGGCCCAAACUCCUACGGGAGGCAGCAGUGGGGAAUCUUGCGCAAUGGGCGAAAGCCUGACGCAGCCAUGCCGCGUGAAUGAUGAAGGUCUUAGGAUUGUAAAAUUCUUUCACCGGGGACGAUAAUGACGGUACCCGGAGAAGAAGCCCCGGCUAACUUCGUG
rnacentral:rRNA from 1 species